rnacentral:rRNA from 1 species
GACGAACGCUGGCGGCGUGCCUAAUACAUGCAAGUCGAGCGGACCAAAGGGAGCUUGCUCCUGGAGGUUAGCGGCGAACGGGUGAGUAACACGUGGGCAACCUGCCUGUAAGACUGGGAUAACAUCGAGAAAUCGGUGCUAAUACCGGAUAAUAAAAAGAACUGCAUGGUUCUUUUUUGAAAGAUGGUUUCGGCUAUCACUUACAGAUGGGCCCGCGGCGCAUUAGCUAGUUGGUGAGGUAACGGCUCACCAAGGCGACGAUGCGUAGCCGACCUGAGAGUGUGAUCGGCCACACUGGGACUGAGACACGGCCCAGACUCCUACGGGAGGCAGCAGUAGGGAAUCUUCCGCAAUGGACGAAAGUCUGACGGAGCAACGCCGCGUGAGUGAUGAAGGUUUUCGGAUCGUAAAACUCUGUUGUUAGGGAAGAACAAGUGCCGUUCGAAAGGGCGGCACCUUGACGGUACCUAACGAGAAAGCCUCGGCUAACUACGUGCCAGCA